rnacentral:sRNA from 1 species
GUCAGGUGCAGUGGCCCACACCUGUAAUCCCAGCAGCUCGGGAGGCUGAGACAGGAGGAUCUUGAGUUCAAAGUCAGCCUCAGCAAAAGAGAGGCACUAAGCAACUUAGUGAGACCCUGUCUCUA